rnacentral:rRNA from 1 species
CCUACGGGGGGCUGCAGUGGGGAAUAUUGCACAAUGGGCGCAAGCCUGAUGCAGCCAUGCCGCGUGUGUGAAGAAGGCCUUCGGGUUGUAAAGCACUUUCAGCGGGGAGGAAGGCGUUAAGGUUAAUAACCUUGUCGAUUGACGUUACCCGCAGAAGAAGCACCGGCUUCCUCCGUGCCAGCAGCCGCGGUAAUACGGAGGGUGCAAGCGUUAAUCGGAAUUACUGGGCGUAAAGCGCACGCAGGCGGUCUGUCAAGUCGGAUGUGAAAUCCCCGGGCUCAACCUGGGAACUGCAUUCGAAACUGGCAGGCUAGAGUCUUGUAGAGAGGGGUAGAAUUCCAGGUGUAGCGGUGAAAUGCGUAGAGAUCUGGAGGAAUACCGGUGGCGAAGGCGGCCCCCUGGACAAAGACUGACGCUCAGGUGCGAAAGCGUGGGGAGCAAACAGGAUUAGAUACCCGGGUAGUC